rnacentral:rRNA from 1 species
ACACUUGGAAACAGGUGCUAAUACCGUAUAACAACAAAAUCCGCAUGGAUUUUGUUUGAAAGGUGGCUUCGGCUAUCACUUCUGGAUGAUCCCGCGGCGUAUUAGUUAGUUGGUGAGGUAAAGGCCCACCAAGACGAUGAUACGUAGCCGACCUGAGAGGGUAAUCGGCCACAUUGGGACUGAGACACGGCCCAAACUCCUACGGGAGGCAGCAGUAGGGAAUCUUCCACAAUGGACGAAAGUCUGAUGGAGCAAUGCCGCGUGAGUGAAGAAGGGUUUCGGCUCGUAAAACUCUGUUGUUAAAGAAGAACACCUUUGAGAGUAACUGUUCAAGGGUUGACGGUAUUUAACCAGAAAGCCACGGCUAACUACGUGCCAGCAGCCGCGGUAAUACGUAGGUGGCAAGCGUUGUCCGGAUUUAUUGGGCGUAAAGCGAGCGCAGGCGGUUUUUUAAGUCUGAUGUGAAAGCCUUCGGCUUAACCGGAGAAGUGCAUCGGAAACUGGGAGGCUUGAGUGCAGAAGAGGACAGUGGAACUCCAUGUGUAGCGGUGGAAUGCGUAGAUAUAUGGAAGAACACCAGUGGCGAAGGCGGCUGUCUAGUCUGUAACUGACGCUGAGGCUCGAAAGCAUGGGUAGCGAACAGGAUUAGAUACCCUGGUA